UACGGAGGGUGCAAGCGUAUCCGGAUUUACUGGGUUUAAAGGGUGCGUAGGCGGUUUUUUAAGUCAGUGGUGAAAGCUCGCAGCUUAACUGUGAAACUGCCAUUGAAACUGAAUAACUUGAAUAUCUUGGACGUGGGCGGAAUACAUCAUGUAGCGGUGAAAUGCUUUAGAUAUGAUGUAGAACACCGAUUGCGAAGGCAGCUCACGACAAGACAAUUGACGCUGAGGCACGAAAAGCGUGGGGAGCAAACAGGG
rnacentral:rRNA from 1 species